GCCCUCUUGGCGCAGCCGGCAGCGCGUCAGUCUCAUAAUCUGAUAGGUCCUGAGUUUGAACCUCAGAGAAGGCA